rnacentral:rRNA from 1 species
GAUGAACGCUAGCGGGAGGCCUAACACAUGCAAGCCGAGCGGUAGAGUUUCUUCGGAAACUUGAGAGCGGCGUACGGGUGCGGAACACGUGUGCAACCUGCCUUUAUCUGGGGGAUAGCCUUUCGAAAGGAAGAUUAAUACCCCAUAAUAUAUUGAUUGGCAUCAAUUAAUAUUGAAAACUCCGGUGGAUAGAGAUGGGCACGCGCAAGAUUAGAUAGUUGGUGAGGUAACGGCUCACCAAGUCAGUGAUCUUUAGGGGGCCUGAGAGGGUGAUCCCCCACACUGGUACUGAGACACGGACCAGACUCCCACGGGAGGCAGCAGUGAGGAAUAUUGGACAAUGGGUGAGAGCCUGAUCCAGCCAUCCCGCGUGAAGGACGACGGCCCUAUGGGUUGUAAACUUCUUUUGUAUAGGGAUAAACCUACCCUCGUGAGGGUAGCUGAAGGUACUAUACGAAUAAGCACCGGCUAACUCCGUGCCAGCAGCCGCCGUAAUAC